UAAGAAAUGAAAUAACAAAUAAUCAUAUAGGCUACAGCUGUCGCCUAUUUUGCCCCUUCCUGUUUCAUGUUCAACCGAGCUCACUAUUGGUUUUUAAUGUUCACGUCACUAUUUGCAUGAGCCACGACUGAAAAGACUUCCAUGUUUGAUAUUGUCGUAACGGCAAAACUAGAAAAAGACUGACUCCGACGAACUUAAAACCGCUAAGAUUGGCACCUUACACUAAACGAUUUAGAUGACGGGAGCGCGCCGAGAUUCUAGUACAACUCCCAAGAUUUUGGAAUUUAGUCGCCGACUGUUAAAACAGACCAAAAUCGUGCAAUUAGUGGAGGGGUGGAAGAAUAAAGGCUGGAGGAAGAGAGCACCGAACAGAAACAGAUUGAGGAGGAGACUGUCCUGAGGCCCUCCAGGAUGAGGAGAACAGAAGUGAGUGCAGCACAGACUUGAAGUUUCCCUGUGGACAGCCUCUGAUGGAACCGGUGCCCUCCCCAGGGAACACUGACAUGGUGAGGGCGGGGAAUGGUAAAUCCAAAGUGAGUUUUAAAAUGACAUUAUGAUAAUGAAAGGGACUCAAUAUUUCUUGAGGGCUGUUUUUAUUUAUUUAUUUCUAUGUAUUGUUU